CUACGGGCGGCUCCAGUAGGGAAUAUUGCACAAUGGGCGAAAGCCUGAUGCAGCAACGCCGCGUGCGCGAUGAAGGCCCUCGGGUCGUAAAGCGCUUUUCUGGGAGAUGAGAAAGGACAGUACCCCAGGAAUAAGGUUCGGCUAACUACGUGCCAGCAGCCGCGGUAAUACGUAGGAACCAAGCGUUAUCCGAAUUUACUGGGCGUACAGCGCGUGUAGGCGGUUUGGUAAGUUGGGUGUGAAAGCUCCUGGCUCAACUGGGAGAUGUCGCUCAAUACUGCCGGGCUAGAGGACGAUAGAGGAAGGUGGAAUUCCCAGUGUAGUGGUGGAAUGCGUAGAUAUUGGGAGGGACACCAGUGGCGAAGGCGGCCUUCUGGGUCGUACCUGACGCUGAGACGCGAAAGCUAGGGGAGCAAACGGGAUUAGAUACCCCAGUAGUC
rnacentral:rRNA from 1 species